AAGUAGCUCUGCUUCGGGAGAGUAUUAUAGACCCUAGGGGAUGCAGCCUGCGGGAUCGAGGAUUGCAGCAAAUGCCUUUGGCUUGUCGCCUGAUCUCUGGAUGUUACCUCGCUUGUGACAACAUUCUUGCCACUUGUGGGUACUAAUGCCCAUCAGGUUAGAGCGAUCAAAAAUUUUGCUAAGGAUGCUGACGUAAUGGCUUUAAACGACCCGUCUUGAAACACGGCUGUCUCUUAUACACAUCUCCGAGCCC
rnacentral:rRNA from 1 species